rnacentral:rRNA from 1 species
GAAAUUCGGAUUAAUACUCCAUAACACUAUAGUUUGGCAUCAUUUUAUAGUUAAAGCUCCGGCGGUUAAAGAUGGGCAUGCGUAACAUUAGCUUGUUGGUGAGGUAAGAGCUCACCAAGGCUACGAUGUUUAGGGGGUCUGAGAGGAUGGUCCCCCACACUGGUACUGAGACACGGACCAGACUCCUACGGGAGGCAGCAGUGAGGAAUAUUGGUCAAUGGGCGAAAGCCUGAACCAGCCAUGCCGCGUGAAGGAUGACGGCCCUACGGGUUGUAAACUUCUUUUGUACGAGAAGAAACCCUCCUACGUGUAGGAGGCUGACGGUACCGUACGAAUAAGCAUCGGCUAACUCCGUGCCAGCAGCCGCGGUAAUACGGAGGAAUGCAAGCGUUAUCCGGAUUUAUUGGGUUUUAAAGGGUGCGUAGGCGGAAAAUUAAGUCAGUGGUGAAAUCCUGCGGCUCAACCGUAGAACUGUCAUUGAUACUGGAUUUUCUUGAAUAC